UUAAAAUUCCAUAUAGAAAAUGUUAACACUGAAAUAAGACCAGAACAGAGAAAAUACAGACAUCCAUACUACAAAUUUAACUUUACCCCAUCCCACCAAUGCCCCUCAAUCUUGUUCUGGAGGGACCACGUCUAGGGAUGACAUGAUGGUUGAGUCUCUAUGAACUGUUAAUUCAUAUGUCACU
rnacentral:sRNA from 1 species